rnacentral:rRNA from 1 species
CUACGGGGGGUGCAAGCGUUAAUCGGAAUUACUGGGCGUAAAGCGCGCGUAGGCGGUUUGCUCAGUCGGAUGUGAAAGCCCAGGGCUCAACCUUGGAACUGCAUACGAUACUGGCAAACUAGAGUGUGAGAGAGGAUAGUGGAAUUUCCGGUGUAGCGGUGAAAUGCGUAGAUAUCGGAAGGAACAUCAGUGGCGAAGGCGACUGUCUGGCUCAACACUGACGCUGAGGUGCGAAAGCGUGGGUAGCAAACAGGAUUAGAUACCCUAGUAGUCC